AUUGAACGCUGGCGGCAGGCCUAACACAUGCAAGUCGAGCGGAUGAAGGGAGCUUGCUCCUGGAUUCCGCGGCGGACGGGUGAGUAAUGCCUAGGAAUCUGCCUGGUAGUGGGGGAUAACGUCUGGAAACGGGCGCUAAUACCGCAUACGUCCUGAGGGAGAAAGUGGGGGAUCUUCGGACCUCACGCUAUCAGAUGAGCCUAGGUCGGAUUAGCUAGUUGGUGGGGUAAAGGCCUACCAAGGCGACGAUCCGUAACUGGUCUGAGAGGAUGAUCAGUCACACUGGAACUGGAACACGGUCCAGACUCCUACGAGAGGGAGCAGUGGGGAAUAUUGGACAGUGGGCGAAAGCCUGAUCCAGCCAUGCCGCGUGUGUGAAGAAGGUCUUCGGAUUGUAAAGCACUUUAAGUUGUGAGGAAGGGCAGUAAGUUAAUACCUUGCUGUUUUGACGUUACCAACAGAAUAAGCACCGGCUAACUUCGUG
rnacentral:rRNA from 1 species